ACGGCUUUUAUUGGAUGACAUGAAAAGAAAUCUUCAGAGUUUAGAGUAAAACUUACAGCUUCUAAUUAUAGACAUAUUUACCCACUUCUAGUGAAAGAAGUCAAACAUGAGUCCAGUGAAAAGAAUUGUGGCACCGUGAAAAAAGUAAAGUCUCAAUUCCAUAGCCAUCCUAGCCUCACUUUCUAUUUCUGAGCAUGGUUUUUCAAACUCUCUGGGCCUCAUCCUCUUCAUCUUUAAUAUUAUUAAUGUGUGUGAUGACAUGCUAAGACUCUUUCAAUCCUAAGUCUAUGAUCUGCUAUUACACUAUUCUUAAGUAUUUUCCUUGAGCUACUGCAUCCACAAAGAAUCAGUAUCACAAGUUAGAGGUAAUUUGGAAAAGAACCAAUCGUCCUACAAGGAUUUCUUGAGUAUCUAUCACAUACCAGGUACUGUGCUGGGCAUCUGAAAUUCAGAGAAAAAGAAACAAGGGACACUAUCUCACCUCAAUGAGAUAACAGUCCAACAAGGAAGCGCCAAGCAAGUAACCAUACAGCACAGAGGUGGACACCGAAAGAGGGGCACUCAGAAGCCUGAGAGGCAGAGGCAGUGGUGAGGGGGCUUCUGAAAAUCAGGAAGGCUCUGCUAGGUUGGAGUAGGUGACAACUGACUUUAGAUUUGGAUGAUAAAUACGAUUUGAGUGCUCAGAAAGAGCUGGAGGAGGUGCUAUAUGUGGCAAAAGAUAAGCACAUUUUAAACUGCCUUAUACUUUUAAACAAAUAAUAAUAAAUCAGCAUUUACUGUAAUAAAAAUACUUUAUCAGGCCAUCUCACACAGUUCCCAAAGCUUAUGAGGAAAAAUUUAAGUCAAUUUCCUUUUAAUAAAUAUUAUUUAACGACUGGAACAUUUAGAGAAACAUACAUAAGCAGGCCGUGGCAGCACGUCACUCAGGGACAAUAAUCUAACAGGGAAUUUCAGACAACCUAGCCUAGACUAAAUGCUGGGCAGCACCUGGCAGACAAGGUGGCAAAGCCCCUAUAAAUAGUGAUGAUUCACUAACAUGACAUAAAUCAAGAUUUUAACUCACCAAAAACUAACAUUUUGAUUUAAAAACACAAAUCAGUGCCAUUAAAAUUCAUCAGCGGCCCCUAGCACAUGAGUAAUGAGAUCAUAUCAACUUAUAUCAUGUAACUAAAAGGAAAAGGUGGUUUUCUAAAUGGUAAUUCAGAUUGGACAAAUAACACACUGUAUCAAGUUUUGUAGCUCUAGGCCAUAUUUUGCUAAACACAAAGGUACAUUAUGCAUGACUAAAGAAAACAGUGAAAAUCAGAGCAAUUAAUUUCCCAGCUAUGUUUCCCAUAAAAAGACAUCACUACUAUGAUCUGCUUAUAACACAAACUUUUUUGCAUUGCACAAUGAUCUAAGUGUGUAAUAACUUACAUAUUUCACUAAGAUGUAACAUCCUUCAAAACAUCCUUAUAAUGAAAGUUUUCCAAAAACAUUAUUGAUCACCGGCAUGUCUCAUGUUUUAAAAUUACUGACGAAUCCUUUACUAUUUUCUUUACAGCUAGAAAUAAUUCUUCUUGAUCACUAGAGUGUAAAGGGGUAUAAAGUACAAAGACUGAAUAUUUUCUUAAAUACUAACAUCCCAGUUGACACAGGACAUUUCCCAUAACUUGCCCAAAACAAUAAUUAGGAGAGUUGUCACUGGAAUCCUAAAAAUAUAUGUAAGAAAACAGAGAUUCGUUGGCAUCAAUUUAGCACAGCAAGAGAUUUCCAUUAAGUGCUUUUUCAAAUUAUUUGCAAACACUUUUUAGCUGAACCCUCUCAUUUCCAGUGGAGCCUUUUAUGUUUCUUUGCAGAACUCAAGAACCUUUUCUCAGGUGGCUCUGCUUUGCUGCAGGUAAGUUUGGUAUUAACACAUUUUCUUUAUCUGUUGGAGGUAGUGAAACGGCUCUCUUCCUCCGUUGUCUUUCACUGGCACCUUUGUGGCCGCUCGUAGUCACUGACCUCACCUUGCUGGAAAGGUGGCUAAGAAAAGAGCAGUUUCUAAUAACUCAAGGGAACUGCAGCGUUUCCAUUCAGAACAAACAGCAGGACCCAGCUGGAGGGGUGCAGCUCUAAAGAAGUAAGACCCGCACCACAGCGGACAACUUCCAGAGGCUCUUCUCCAACACCGCCAAACACAGGCGGAAACACGGAGCCUGGACAGAAAGAGGGACGAGCAGAGAGAUGGGCGCAGAGAGCAAGAGACAGGGGAGCCAGGAAGACCGGGAGCGAAAGCCUCUUGAGAGAGAGAGAGAGACCAAAAGAUUGUGCGAAAGUGACAGAGGGAAGAGGAUGAAGGGACAGAGGAGGGACACACUGGGAGAGCCAGAGCAGGCGGUGGGGAGAGGGAGACAGACGCACGGAAGGAAAGAGAGACCGGGGGGAGAGGCAAAGGAUAGCAAUAAGGAGAGGAAGGGAGAAAGGAAGAAAAGGGAGAGAAUGAAAGACCCAGAACUUGAGAGAGAGGCAUAGAGAGAGAGAAGCAGGAGAGAGAGGAGAAGAGACAGGCAACUGAAGCAGAGACGGAGCCCAGUCCAAGGCGCCGGGACCAGCCCGCUGCGCACUUUCCCCCACGGCAAGGCUGGGUCUCGGGAGGCGUCCGGGGCAGGUAAUGGAGAAGCACUGGAGAUUUGUAAGCCACGGAGUCAAAUGGUGGACUGGGAUUUUCAGGAGAUCAUUUAGAGAGCAAGAUCUUACCAAAUCCUUUAGUCAUGGUCUAUUUCGUUGCACUCAUAUGGUUGUUACUGCGAAGGUGAAGAACUAAUGACUGCAGCAGGAAAAAGAAUUGGAUGUGUCAUGAAUUAUGGCCCUGCUUAUACUUCUACUUCAACCGUAAUCAUUUGUUUAAACAAAAAGUUCUGCAUUUGAAUUGUCACAAUUGUGUGUGUGUUAUAAACAUCUCAUAUUUCAUCCAGGCUCAGCCAACACUUGCCUUUAUUAAUGCUCAUAAUCAAGAAAUAAAAUCUCAUACUAACCAAAAAUUAUCCUUCAUAAGAGAAUAUAAACAGAAGUCUGGUUCAUAAACUUACUAAUUAACACCUCUAUUCUCAUGUAUCAACUAACAUUUUUGUUUCGUCUUAAAAUAAAUAAAACUUUAUGACAUGCUAAUAAUUUAUUUAAAAUUUUAUCUUUCAAAGGCUUAUCUUCUCUUAAUGUUCGACUUAGGUUUUUUUAUACUAUUGAUUUUGCCUUUAGAAAAU
rnacentral:lncRNA from 10 species